GUAAAAGACCAUCAAAAAUAAAUUAGAGCAAGAAAUUAAGAAAGUAAGUUCAAGCCAAAAAAAAUGUCUACCCUACCAAAUUACUCAACCUGCUCCAAAAGCUCCAAAGAUUUUGUAGAAAAUAUAACUGAGCGCGACAAAAACUACGAAAACUUCAAGAAAGCAUCUAAAGCUGCCAAGUAUGCGUGGAAAAAGAAUUCCGGGUCUGACAAAUUCACUAGCCACAUGUCAGAAUCUAUACCCAAGCGCUUUUAACAAAACACACGAAAUUUUCAAAAUAAACCAGCCGGUAAGCGUAGCAAAUAACAACAAAAACCUACAAAUUGAAAUGUGUAGAUGCAGAUAAUUAUACCAACACCAUUCUAUAUCUCCUCCGGGUGUAUAAAUCGCUAAAUAUAUAAAUAAAAAAAUAUAUUUUUUAACUUGAA